rnacentral:rRNA from 1 species
UACAGAGGGCGCGAGCGUUGUCCGGAAUCACUGGGCGUAAAGGGCGCGUAGGUGGGCUUGUAAGUCGGAUGUGAAAUCCCCGGGCUUAACCUGGGAACUGCAUCCGAAACUACAAGUCUUGAAUGCUUCAGAGGUUGGUAGAAUUCCUGGUGUAGGAGUGAAAUCCGUAGAUAUCAGGAGGAAUACCGGAGCGAAGGGCGGCCAACUGGGAGUGCAUUGACACUGAGGUGCGACAGCGUGGGGAGCAAACAGG